rnacentral:rRNA from 1 species
UGGGGAAUUUUGGACAAUGGGGGAAACCCUGAUCCAGCCAUCCCGCGUGUGCGAUGAAGGCCUUCGGGUUGUAAAGCACUUUUGGCAGGAAAGAAACGUCGCGGGUUAAUACCCCGCGAAACUGACGGUACCUGCAGAAUAAGCACCGGCUAACUACGUGCCAGCAGCCGCGGUAAUACGUAGGGUGCAAGCGUUAAUCGGAAUUACUGGGCGUAAAGCGUGCGCAGGCGGUUCGGAAAGAAAGAUGUGAAAUCCCAGAGCUUAACUUUGGAACUGCAUUUUUAACUACCGGGCUAGAGUGUGUCAGAGGGAGGUGGAAUUCCGCGUGUAGCAGUGAAAUGCGUAGAUAUGCGGAGGAACACCGAUGGCGAAGGCAGCCUCCUGGGAUAACACUGACGCUCAUGCACGAAAGCGUGGGGAGCAAACAGGAUUAGAUACCCUGGUAGUCCACGCCCUAAACGAUGUCAACUAGCUGUUGGGGCUUCGGGCCUUGGUAGCGCAGCUAACGCGUGAAGUUGA